GACGUAGGGGGCGAGCGUUGUCCGGAUUUAUUGGGCGUAAAGCGUGCGUAGGCGGCUGCGCAAGUCGGUUGUGAAACCCCGGGGCUCAACCCCGGAACUGCAUCCGAGACUGCUUUGCUCGAGUAUGGGAGAGGGAAGUGGAAUUUCCGGUGUAGCGGUGAAAUGCGUAGAUAUCGGAAGGAACAUCAGUGGCGAAGGCGACUUCCUGGACCAAUACUGACGCUCAGGUGCGAAAGCGUGGGGAGCAAACAGG
rnacentral:rRNA from 1 species